GUCCACGCCGUAAACUAUGGAUACUAGCUGUUAGAAGUAUCGACCCUUCUAGUAGCGAAGCUAACGCGUUAAGUAUCCCGCCUGUGGAGUACGGUCGCAAGACUAAAACAUAAAGGAAUUGACGGGGACCCGCACAAGCGGUGGAGCGUGUUGUUUAAUUCGAUGCUAAGCGAAGAACCUUACCCAGGUUUGACAUCUUUGGAAGUUCUACGAAAGUAGAGUGUGCCUUCGGGAGCCAAAUGACAGGUGUUGCAUGGCCGUCGU
rnacentral:rRNA from 1 species